GAUGUACUCCCUCCGUUCGGAAUUACUUGUCUUGGAAAUGGAUGUAUCUAAAACUAAAAUAUAUCUAGAUACAUCCAUUUUCGCGACAAGUAAUUCCGAACGGAGGGAGUAAUAA
rnacentral:pre_miRNA from 1 species